AACCUGCAUGAGCUUUGUGUCAGAAGUAAACAGGUAGAGCAAGAAAGUGAAUGUGCCACUUAACCAAAACAGGUCUGAAUGAAGACUAAGAAAAGCCAAAAUUAUCACCCAAGUAUACACAUCUUAAUAUCUGGCAAUAGCCACAGGUUUAACUCUCAGCCUCAACACUUAAGAAACACCAAAUAAAUGGAAUAAAGGGAUAGGAAAAUGUGUUCUAUAGCUCACUGCUCAGAGCAGGUUAUGGGCAUUGCCUAACUCUAUUCUAUUGUACAACCAGGUUCAUGCAGCAAACCAGGAUAUAACCUGAUACUUGAUUCAGUAGGACAAAGGGGUGGAAAACAGUGAGCUUGAAGAGCCUGAUUAGAACUUCAGCAAGUGCAAUUUUCCUAGGUUUCUUAAUUUCUUCCACUUUGGAGAAGCCAACUGAGAGCUGAGAAGGUGAAGGAUGGAACUUUCCUGUAACCUGCAGAACCACCAUUACUUUGGCUUCAACCCACCAAAUCAGGACACCAGCAGCCUCUUUCCUGGACUUCUGGUCACCUCAUCCCAACACUGUUACAACUGCUGCCUAUCAAACAAGUACUCUUUAACCAUGCUGCUCUAAAUCCUUACAAGAAUCAGAGAUGCCCCUGCUUUGCAGCACCUUCAGCAAGACUAAAGCAUUUACAACAUACUAAGAUAUUCUCCACGUCACAUCUUCAGAAUAUAAGAACUAUUUUGAAAUUUUAUAUUCUUGUUACUAUCUAAAA